GGGGAAUUAGCCCAAGAUAAGAUCUCUGACUUCGGCUCAAAAAAUCAUGAUUUAGACCCAUAACCCCAAA
rnacentral:tRNA from 1 species